rnacentral:rRNA from 1 species
UACGGAGGGUGCAAGCGUUAUCCGGAAUUACUGGGUUUAAAGGGUGCGUAGGCGGCUAUAUAAGUCAGAGGUGAAAGCCCGGAGCUUAACUUCGGAAUUGCCUUUGAUACUGUAUAGCUUGAAAGAGGUUGAGGUCAGCGGAAUGUGACAUGUAGCGGUGAAAUGCAUAGAUAUGUCAUAGAACACCAAUUGCGAAGGCA